rnacentral:rRNA from 1 species
AUGAGAAGCUACCUUUGUACUGUGAGUGUUGUGGGAUUGUGGGUCAUACUUGAGAGGUUUUGUAAAAUCCCAAGUGAGAAGAGAGUAGUUUGCUUCCCUAGAAAUCUUAGUGUUGAGCCCUACUGGAAGAGCCAAGGUACUAGCAGGAGGGGUCUACUCUCCGGGAACUACUAUUGUGGCGACAAGAACACGACUGCAAGCAUCGCCAACAACAACAACGGCAAGCCCAUGGACGUUGUCAAGGUGGCCACUGCCGUAAGUGGCCUCACGGUCUCUGAUAAGGGGGGCGCUACUUCCGCCAAGACGACCACCGGCCAGGAGGGUCGGGCUCAGGUAGUCUUGGCGCCUGCUCCGGCUGGUGCGCCACUUGGUCAGGUGGACCAGGUGGGCAUGCCAUCUACUCGGGUCCAGGGCCACAAGUCCUUGGAGGACUCGUCCAAGGGUGCAACACAUGACCGGGAGGGUCUUUUGCGUGCUGCACUUGCUCCGAAUCAGGCUCUCCAGGAGAGUCAGAAGUCCAUGGGUACUCAGCCGCUGGGGAUGUCCAGUAAAACACCAGCGCCUGGGGCUGAUACGGGCCUCCUGCUCUUCUAA